rnacentral:rRNA from 1 species
GACGAACGCUGGCGGCGUGCUUAACACAUGCAAGUCGAACGGAAAGGCCCUGCUUUUGUGGGGUGCUCGAGUGGCGAACGGGUGAGUAACACGUGAGUAACCUGCCCUUGACUUUGGGAUAACUUCAGGAAACUGGGGCUAAUACCGGAUAGGAGCUCCUGCUGCAUGGUGGGGGUUGGAAAGUUUCGGCGGUUGGGGAUGGACUCGCGGCUUAUCAGCUUGUUGGUGGGGUAGUGGCUUACCAAGGCUUUGACGGGUAGCCGGCCUGAGAGGGUGACCGGCCACAUUGGGACUGAGAUACGGCGCAGACGGGUACGGUAGGCAGCAGUGGGGAGUAUUGCACAGUGAGCGGAAGCCUGAUGCAACAACGCCGCGUGCGUGAUGACGGCCUUUGGGUUAUAAACCGCUUUCGCCUGUGACGAAGCGUGAGUGACGGUAAUGGAUAAAGAAGCACCGGCUAACUACGUG